GACGAACGCUGGCGGCGUGCCUAAUACAUGCAAGUCGAGCGAGGAACUUCGGUUCCUAGCGGCGAACGGGUGAGGAACACGUGGGCAACCUGCCCUCAAGCCUGGGAUAACUCCGGGCAACCGAAGCUAAAACCAGAUAAUCUUCUUCUUCGCAUGAAAAAGAAGUAAAAGAAACCACUUGAGAAUGGGCCCGCGGUGCAUUAGCUAGUUGGUGGGGUAACGGCUUACCAAGGCGACGAUGCAUAGCCGACCUGAGAGGGUGACCGGCCACACUGGGACUGAGACACGGCCCAGACUCCUACGGGAGGCAGCAGUAGGGAAUUUUCCGCAAUGGGCGAAAGCCUGACGGAGCAACGCCGCGUGAGUGAAGACGGUUUUCGGAUUGUAAAGCUCUGUUCUUGGGGAAGAAAACAAUGACGGUACCCAAGCAGAAAGCCCCGGCUAACUACGUGCCAGCCGCCGCCGUAAGAC
rnacentral:rRNA from 1 species